CAGCAGCCGCGGGAAUACGAAGGGGGCUAGCGUUGUUCGGAUUUACUGGGCGUAAAGGGCGCGUAGGCGGACUGAUAAGUCAGGGGUGAAAUCCCAAGGCUCAACCUUGGAACUGCCUUUGAUACUGUUUGUCUUGAGUUCGAGAGAGGUAAGUGGAACUGCGAGUGUAGAGGUGAAAUUCGUAGAUAUUCGCAAGAACACCAGUGGCGAAGGCGGCUUACUGGCUCGAAACUGACGCUGAGGCGCGAAAGCGUGGGGAGCAAACAGGAUUAGAUACCCCGUAGUCCCUGUCUCUUAUACA
rnacentral:rRNA from 1 species